GGAGGCGGGUGCAAGGAGAGGGGGCGGCUCCUCCCACGGCGGAGGGUCGCUGCCUCGAAGGCAAGCAGGCAGGCGCAGGGCUUCCUACGAAAGAAGAUGCCUCAAAACCUAGAGGAUACGAAGCUAAAACCUCCCAAAUUUGAGGAAGAGGCCUUUGAGAUUGUGAAGGUAAAGGUUCCCUGGAGAUAAAUCAAGUGACUGAUGGGGAGGCCGACUUACCAGGGAGGAUCAAGUUGGUUACACCUUCUGGGAAGAGGCUCCGUGGUAUCCAAAGCAGAACAUCCCGAUUCAGUCACAGUUUGUUCCAUACAGUAUCAACCUGGUGAAUUCUCAAACUUUCUCUUUCUGCUAUGUAUUCAAGAUGGACAGUGAUUAGUAUUUAUAUGUUAGGGUGCAGGUAUAUACAUAUGUAUGUACAUAGCAUGUCU
rnacentral:lncRNA from 1 species